AUGCUCUUGUCCAUCCCAGGAGCCAUGACCUUUGUCUGCAGGAUGAUGUUAUUUUUAGAGCUGCUUAAAAGAUGGCCUGCCUGCUGCAGAAGCAAGACAACGCAGAGGAAAGGAAUGGAUAUGGUGCACUAUGGAUGCGGAUCAAAGAAGCAUCUAGCAAGAUUGUCCUGUUACAGAGAGAAACCAGCUGGACCUUCCUCUGCGGUGGUUCACAGUGCUGAGUCCCAUUCUAUCAGUGAAAAGGACAAAAAUGGAAAAAGGAAAAAAAUGACCAUGACCUCCAUGACCACGAUUUGCUCUGCUUACAGGGCACAAAUGAGAGAAAUUUUUUUUGUGUCUGUAAUUUUUUUGCUGAAAAUUUCACCUGUCUUUUUCACUUUGCUGAAAAUUUAUCAACUAAGAAAGCCAAGCCAGACUCCUUGCAUGGGUGAGAAGUGAAAUGAAAAUGUCAUUUUUUCAGGGUGGGCAGAAUAUUGACUUAUUGUCAUGGCCUUGUGUAUAUCCAGUGACCUUGGAGAACUAGGGGCUUUUGCAUUGCAUCAGUAUCAUAUGGAUGAUGGGAGUAACAUGGGCUGAUGCUGGAGCAGAGGCUCAAACCCCAAAUCUGUCGCUACCAAAGAUUUAUGCCUCAUGUCAUUAUAAAGGAGAAGCAGCUUAAAAUUCUUAAUUCACACUAAAGCUUCAUCAGCUUUUCAGAGAGCUUUAGAUUUUGACUUGACCUAUUCCAGCAGGGAAGAGGGGCAGGGAGUUCAUGCUCCAACCCGCAGCACAAGUGUGGAUAGCAUUAGCAUUUGGCUUUGAUUCCUUAACAGGAUAACCGCAGCCAGACUCCCCAGGGUGUUAUGGAUGUUUUGUGCUGACCCUGUAGUGCAAUCUGGUUCUCAAGCCAGUGUAUCUGGGCUCAUCACAUCAGCAUAGUCGGUGCUUUCAGACGUGGAGAGCUGGCGUGGAGUCUACUGUGUCAUUCCUUUCCCUGUUCUUGGCCAGAGGAUUUACGGCAUGUGUUCAUGACAUGAAAACCUUAAUGUUGCUCCAAUUCAUGGAGACUGGUUUGGCCCAAUGGCUUGUUAUCAGCAACAGCAAGACUUGUCCUUGCUGCUUCAUCAGUGGUACUGACAUGGCUUAAAAGAUUUGUGCGCAUUGUUUGUAGGGGCAGGCAUAAAAAUUUCCAACAGAAUGAAUGUGCAUAAACAAUAUUAUUUGCUUCUGGAGCUUAUUUAUGAUUAUUCUUGCCCUUAAUGAACCUUGUAGCUACUACAAAAGUUGGCAGUUUAGUGGGCAUUAUCUCAGAUAAUCAGCUGUGGUAGCAAAAUCAGUUCUCCCAGCUCCCUUUGGCUUGGUUCAAUGCAAAGGAGCACUAACAAUUUAAGUUCAGUCUGAACUACUUGCUUAGAUGGAGAUUGCCAAGUUUAUGUGCAUGCUUCUGUUCAAUUAUAAU
rnacentral:lncRNA from 1 species